rnacentral:rRNA from 1 species
GACGAACCGUGCGAACGUUGUUCGGAUUCACUGGGCUUAAAGGGCGCGUAGGCGGCGGCUCAAGUCGGGGGUGAAAUCCUCUCGCUUAACGAGAGAAUUGCUUUCGAUACUGGGUCGCUGGAGGGAGAUAGGGGUGCGCGGAACUUCCGGUGGAGCGGUGAAAUGCGUAGAUAUCGGAAGGAACGCCGGUGGCGAAAGCGGCGCACUGGAUCUCUUCUGACGCUGAGGCGCGAAAGCCAGGGGAGCAAACGGG